rnacentral:rRNA from 1 species
GACGAACGCUGGCGGCGUGCUUAAUACAUGCAAGUCGAACGGAAAGGCCCCUUUGGGGGUACUCGGGUGGCGAACGGGCGCGUAAGACGUGCGUAAGCAGCCCUUGACUUCGGGAUAGCUUCAGGUAACUGGGGCUAAUACCGGCUACGAAUCCUUGCUUCAUGGAUGGGGUUUGAAAGCUGCGGCCGUAUUGGAUGGACUCGCGGCGUAUCGGCUUGUUGGUGUAGUAGUGGCUUACCAAGGCUUUGAGGGGUAGCCCGCCUGAGAGGGCGACCGGCCACAUUGGGACUGAGGUACGGCCCAGACUCCGACGGGCGGCAACAGUGGGGAAUAUUGCACAAUGGGCGGACGCCUGAUGCAGAAGCGCCGCGUGCGGGAAGACGGGCUUCGGGUUGAAAACCGCUUUCAGCAGGGGCGGAGCUUGUGGUGACGGUACCUGCAGAAGAAGCACCGGCUAACUACGUG